UACGUAGGGGGCAAGCGUUGUCCGGAAUCAUUGGGCGUAAAGCGCGUGUAGGCGGUUCGGUAAGUCUGCUGUGAAAGUCCAGGGCUCAACCCUGGGAUGCCGGUGGAUACUGUCGGACUAGAGUACGGAAGAGGCGAGUGGAAUUCCCGGUGUAGCGGUGAAAUGCGUAGAUAUCAAGAGGAACACCUGCGGCGAAGGCGGGUUGCUGGGCCGACACUGACGCUGAGGCGCGAAAGCCAGGGGAGCGAACGGG
rnacentral:rRNA from 1 species